rnacentral:rRNA from 1 species
GCUUGUCUCAAAGAUUAAGCCAUGCAUGUCUAAGUAUAAACGACUUUAUACUGUGAAACUGCGAAUGGCUCAUUAUAUCAGUUAUAGUUUAUUUGAUGGUCCUUGCUACUUGGAUAACCGUAGUAAUUCUAGAGCUAAUACAUGCAUUAAACCCCGACUUCUGGAAGGGGUGUAUUUAUUAGAUGGAAACCAAUGCGGGGUAACCCGGAAUAUGGUGAUUCAUAAUAACUUUCGGAUCGAUUUAUCGAUGCAUCAUUCAAGUUUCUGCCCUAUCAGCUUUGGAUGGUAGGGUAUUGGCCUACCAUGGCUUUUACGGGUAACGGAGGAUUAGGGUUCGAUUCCGGAGAGGGAGCCUGAGAAACGGCUACCACAUCUAAGGAAGGCAGCAGG